rnacentral:rRNA from 1 species
AAUAUUUGACAAUGGGGGCAACCCUGAGCCACCCAUACGGCGGGUGGGAAGAAGGUUUUCGCAUUUUAACGCACUUUAAGUUGGGAGGAAGGGCUUCAGGUUAAUACCCCGAAGUUUUUACGUUACCAACAGAAUAAGCACCGGCUAACUCUGUGCCAGCAGCCGCGGUAAUACAGAGGGUGCAAGCGUUAAUCGGAAUUACUGGGCGUAAAGCGCGCGUAGGUGGUUCAGUAAGAUGGGUGUGAAAUCCCCGGGCUUAACCUGGGAACUGCUUUCAAAACUGCAGAGCUAGAGUACGGUAGAGGGUAGUGGAAUUUCCUGUGUAGCGGUGAAAUGCGUAGAUAUAGGAAGGAACACCAGUGGCGAAGGCGACUACCUGGACUGAUACUGACACUGAGGUGCGAAAGCGUGGGGAGCAAACA